GUCUUUUUGAUAAUAAUUUAAGGUCGGGCCUGCUCAAUGAUAAAAUUAAAUGGCUGCAGUAUUUUGACUGUACUAAGGUAGCAUAAUCAUUAGUUUCUUAAUUGGGAACUGGAAUGAAAGGUUUGAUGAGAAAAUAGCUGUCUCUUUAGUAAGUAUAGAAAUUUAUUUUUAAGUAAAAAAGCUUAAAUUUAGUUAAAAGACGAGAAGACCCUAUAGAGUUUAAUAAUUUAUUGGUUUUUAAUUGAGUAUAAAAAUAUAAAUUAACUAUGAAAAUUAUUUGAUUGGGGUGAUUCUAAAAUUUAGUAAACUUUUAUUUUAAAAAACUUAAAUUAAAGGAUAAUUUGAUCCGUGUUUGGCGAUUAAAAGAAUAAAUUACCUUAGGGAUAACAGCGUAAUUUUUUUUUAGAGUUCUAAUCGAUAAAAAAGAUUGCGA
rnacentral:rRNA from 1 species